rnacentral:rRNA from 1 species
AUGAAGCUCGUUCCAGCAAACCAAAAUGCCUAUCGUAGCAAAAGUGCAAAAUCGAACGCUGGUUCUAGGAAACCCAAAGCGCCGGUGGUAGCAAAAAAUGGUGCUGGUUCCAGCAAAAAAAUAAACGGUUGUAGCAAAAAAAUGCAAAACUGGGUGGUGGUUGCAGCUUUCCCGACAGUGGUUGCAGCUUUCGACGACGCGGUUCCAGCUCCGUGCAGAGGUGGUUGCAACUUUUGGCAUCGAUGGUCGCCGUGGCCGGCCUCGGAGAGCUCUAGCAGCGGUGACAACAGUAGUACCAGGGUGCUACGCCGGUUGCAGCAUCACGCAAACUGUUUAUAG